rnacentral:rRNA from 1 species
UUAACGAGAUUCCCACUGUCCCUGUCUACUAUCCAGCGAAACCACAGCCAAGUAACGGGCUUGGCAGAAUCAGCGGGGAAAGAAGACCCUGUUGAGCUUGACUCUAGUCCGACUUUGUGAAAUGACUUAAGAGGUGUAGAAUAAGUGGGAGCUCCGGCGCCAGUGAAAUACCACUACUUUUAACGUUAUUUUACUUAUUCCAUGAGCUGGAGGCGGGCUUCGGCCCUUCUUCUGGCCCUAAGGCGCCUCGGCGUCGAUCCAGGUGGAAGACAUUGUCAGGUGGGGAGU